AUUGAACGCUGGCGGCAUGCUUUACACAUGCAAGUCGAACGGUAACAGGCCGCAAGGUGCUGACGAGUGGCGAACGGGUGAGUAAUGCAUCGGAACGUGCCCAGUCGUGGGGGAUAACGCAGCGAAAGCUGUGCUAAUACCGCAUACGAUCUAUGGAUGAAAGCGGGGGACCGUAAGGCCUCGCGCGAUUGGAGCGGCCGAUGUCAGAUGAGGUAGUUGGUGGGGUAAAGGCUCACCAAGCCAACGAUCUGUAGCUGGUCUGAGAGGACGACCAGCCACAGUGGGACAGAGACACGGCGCAGACUCCUACGGGAGGCAGCAGUGGGGAAUUUUGGACAAUGGGCGCAAGCCUGAUCCAGCAAUGCCGCGUGCAGGAAGAAGGCCUUCGGGUUGUAAACUGCUUUUGUACGGAACGAAAAGGUUUGGGUUAAUACCCUGGGCCGAUGACGGUACCGUAAGAAUAAGCACCGGCUAACUACGUGCCAGCAGCCGCAGUAAUAC
rnacentral:rRNA from 1 species